rnacentral:rRNA from 1 species
GAUGAACGCUAGCGGCAGGCCUAACACAUGCAAGUCGAGGGGUAGCAGGAUUAAGCUUGCUUAAUUGCUGACGACCGGCGCACGGGUGCGUAACGCGUAUGCAACCUACCUUAUACUGGGGUAUAGCCCGGAGAAAUUCGGAUUAAUCCCCCAUAGUACUAAUGAAUCGCAUGGUUUAUUAGUUAAAGCAUUGCGGUAUAAGAUGGGCAUGCGUCCUAUUAGCUAGAUGGUGAGGUAACGGCUCACCAUGGCUACGAUAGGUAGGGAGCCUGAGAGGGUGGUCCCCCACACUGGUAAUGAGACCCGGACCAGACUCCGACGGGAGGCAGCAGUGAGGAAUAUUGGUCAAUGGGCGCAAGCCUGAACCAGCCAUGCCGCGUGCAGGAAGAAUGCCCUAUGGGUUGUAAACUGCUUUUAUUUGGGAAUAAACCUCUUUACGUGUAGAGAGCUGAAGGUACCAAAUGAAUAAGCACCGGCUAACUCCGUGCCAGCAGCCGCAGUAA